CACGUAGGGGGCGAGCGUUGUCCGGAUUUAUUGGGCGUAAGGAGCUCGUAGGUGGUUCAGUAAGUCGAGUGUGAAACCUCCAGGCUCAACCUGGAGACGCCACCCGAUACUGCUGUGACUAGAGUCCAGUAGGGGAGCACGGAAUUCCUGGUGUAGCGGUGAAAUGCGCAGAUAUCAGGAGGAACACCAGUGGCGAAGGCGGUGCUCUGGGCUGGAACUGACACUGAGGAGCGAAAGCGUGGGUAGCAAACAGG
rnacentral:rRNA from 1 species